rnacentral:lncRNA from 1 species
GAACAAGGUCGAAUCCUGCUUUUAUCUGAUGGCGAAGGCCCUUAGCCUUAAGGGUGUUAUUUCGAACUUAUCAAAAUAACAUCCCGUCGUGAUUCGAACGAGGUCGAAUCCGGCUUGUACUCUGAUGGCAAAGCCCUUAGCCUUAAGGGAGUUAUUUCGAAUUUAUCAAAAUAACAUCCCGUCGUGAUUUGAAUGAGGUCGGAUCCUUCUUUUAAUUUGAUGGCGAAGGCCCUUAGCCUUAAAGGUGUUAUUUCGAACUUAUCGAAAUAACAUACGCCGUGAUUCGAACUAGGUCGAAUCCUGCUUUUACUUUGGUGGCGUAGGCUUUUAGUCUUAAGGGUGUUAUUUUGAACUUAUCAAAACAACAUCCUCGUCGUGAUUCGAACGAGGUCGAAUACUGCUUUUAUUUUUAUGUCGAAGGCCCUUAGCC